UUAAUUCAUCAUGGGGUUGAUGUGAAUGUAAGAGGUGCAAUUGGUGACCAUCCAUUACACUGGGCAUGCUACAAAGGAUACAAGGCCAUAGCUCAACUUCUGAUCCAAGGUCAUAGGUCAAGCAAGGCUCAAGUUGAUGCUGUAGACACUGAGAAUCAAAGUUCACUGCACUAUAGUUGUUUUACUGGACAUGUAGAUUUAGUCAUAGUAUUGCUCAACUCAAAGGCUAACCCACUUGUGCAGACAGUCUAUGGUGACACGCCCCUUCAAACAGCCUGUUACAAUGGCUGUUUGGAUAUUGCUAGGGAGUUGCUGCACCGAA